ACAGAGUCCAAGUGAGGAGAGUGACAAGAGCCCUGGAGAUCGGCUGGAGUAUGCCAUGAUUGUUGGAUUUGGCAGGGCCAGCGCUACAUGCUCACAGCCCAGCAGAGACACGGCGGUGACCUACACAACUGUAGGUCAUUGCACAGCACAGACAGCAGGUCAUUGCACAGCUGGGGAAACAGAAGAUGACUUACAUCCUUAUGGCAUUGGUGAG